rnacentral:rRNA from 1 species
GACGAACGCUGGCGGCGUGCUUAACACAUGCAAGUCGAACGGAAAGGCCCUGCUUUUGUGGGGUGCUCGAGUGGCGAACGGGUGAGUAACACGUGAGUAACCUGCCCUUGACUUUGGGAUAACUUCAGGAAACUGGGGCUAAUACCGGAUAGGAGCUCCUGCUGCAUGGUGGGGGUUGGAAAGUUUCGGCGGUUGGGGAUGGACUCGCGGCUUAUCGGCUUGUUGGUGGGGUAGUGGCUUACCAAGGCUUUGACGGGUAGCCGGCCUGAGAGGGUGACCGGCCACAUUGGGACUGAGAUACGGCCCAGACUCCUACGGGAGGCAGCAGUGGGGAAUAUUGCACAAUGGGCGGAAGCCUGAUGCAGCAACGCCGCGUGCGGGAUGACGGCCUUCGGGUUGGAAACCGCUUUCGCCUAUGACGAAGCGUGAGUGACGGUAAUGGGUAAAGAAGCACCGGCUAACUACGUG